rnacentral:rRNA from 1 species
AACCUUACCAGGUCUUGACAUCCUUUGACCAUCCUAGAGAUAGGAYUUUCCCUUCGGGGACAAAGUGACAGGUGGUGCAUGGUUGUCGUCAGCUCGUGUCGUGAGAUGUUGGGUUAAGUCCCGCAACGAGCGCAACCCUUAUUGUUAGUUGCCAUCAUUCAGUUGGGCACUCUAGCGAGACUGCCGCAGACAAUGCGGAGGAAGGUGGGGAUGACGUCAAAUCAUCAUGCCCCUUAUGACCUGGGCUACACACGUGCUACAAUGGAGAGUACAACGAGUCGCAAAGCCGCGAGGCUAAGCCAAUCUCUUAAAGCUCUUCUCAGUUCGGAUUGUAGGCUGCAACUCGCCUACAUGAAGCCGGAAUCGCUAGUAAUCGCGGAUCAGCACGCCGCGGUGAAUACGUUCCCGGG